ensembl:snRNA U1 U1 spliceosomal RNA
AUGCUUACCUAGAAGAGGAAAUACCAUGAUCACAAAUGUGGCUUUCCCAAGUUGCAGCUUAUCCACUGUUCCCAAGCUGAGCUGAUCGAUCCCUGACAGUUCUUCAAAUGUGGGAAAAUCAACUGUGUAAUUUCCAGUACUGGGGGGCUGUGUUCAAGAUUUCCCUUG